rnacentral:rRNA from 1 species
UGAGCAAUCUGCCCUUCUCUUCGGAAUAAGCGUUGGAAACGACGUCUAAUGCCGAAUACGACCUCCUUUCGCAUGAUCGGAGGUGGAAAACUCCGGCGGAGAAGGAUGAGCUCGCGGCCUAUCAGCUAGUUGGUGUGGGUAACGGCCCACCAAGGCGACGACGGGUAGCCGGCCUGAGAGGGCGAUCGGCCACACUGGGACUGAGACACGGCCCAGACCUCCGUACGGGGAGGCAGC